ensembl:lncRNA
AAGAUUUUAAAGUAGGUAUGUUUAUUGUGGCACCGUGUGCGAGGGGGAUAUCACCUCCUUACUCACACACCGAGAACAACAGUGGUUAUAAAUUUAAAGACAUAACAUAGACAUAUUUGUUACAUUCCAAGAAAACCGGCUGGAAUCCUGAGAAAUUACUAACAUGUUGUACCACGCUCUUGGGGUGGUGGGGGUCUCUCGUGGUUGUUGGUAGACAGCCGAGAGCGGCUUGGCAGUCACCUCUGCCAGCUCCCUCAGGAGUCUGUGGAGGGACUCUUCCUGUCCCCCGUGCUGUGCACCGUCUUCCUGCACUGCUGGCUCCUGACAUUUUUCACGUGGUGCUGCAUGAGGAUCGUCAUAAGUCUCUCCAUUAGGGUUAUGUAGGCGUCCAUCUGGCAGAGCAGGUCGAGAGCAUUUACGUUGUCCGUUUCCUCUGUUCCUAAGGAAGCUGGGUCCGCUUGUCCCGUUCUCUGAAAGUGAGAGAGCAUGGGCACAGUGAAAGGGAGGCAGGCUUGUUUUGCAGAGUAUCACCCUGCAGGGCUCCGACUGGUGUGGAGCAUUUCCAGCCUCGCAGGACUGCUCAGGGCAGCCCGUGGGGCUCACACUGCCUGUGGCACACCCUGUGUUGCUCAGGGGCCUCCCACUGUGUGACAGCCCUGUGGCUGGGCAAGUGCCUGGGGAGAGCUAACGGAUCUCUGGGGUCUGCUUUCCUUGGAUGUCUUCAAGUAUAUGGCCUUUAUGGUUCCCUGCUCCCCAGCCACGGUACCCUCCCUGCCCGAUGUAUCUUGAUUGCUCACCUGUCCCCGAGGUCUUCUUAAUCUUCUCCAGUGGGCACGGGCAGUUGUCAGCAGCCAGAGAAUGGAGAAAAUUGUCAAGGGAGCUGUAAGGAGCCAGGUUCUCCCUCUUUGCAUAAGGUAGUCCCAAAGGUGGCCCAGGAUGCCAGGCAAGCUAUAGGCCUUCUGCUUGGUGCCCGGGGACUGCUGCUUUGGGCCUUGUGGAACA